UUAAGGGCGCACGGUGGAUGCCUUGGCACCAGGAACCGAUGAAGGACGUGGGAGGCCACGAUAGUCCCCGGGGAGUCGUCAACCAGGCUUUGAUCCGGGGGUUUCCGAAUGGGGAAACCCGGCAGUCGUCAUGGGCUGUCACCCUUGCCUGAACACAUAGGGCAAGUGGAGGGAACGCGGGGAAGUGAAACAUCUCAGUACCCGCAGGAAGAGAAAACAACCGUGAUUCCGGGAGUAGUGGCGAGCGAAACCGGAUGAGGCCAAACCGUAUGCGUGUGAGACCCGGCAGGGGUUGCGUAUACGGGGUUGUGGGAUCUCUCUUUUACAGUCUGCCGGCUGUGAGACGAGUCAGAAACCGUUGAUGUAGGCGAAGGACAUGCGAAAGGUCCGGCGUAGAGGGUAAGACCCCCGUAGCUGAAACAUUGACGGCUCGUUUGAGAGACACCCAAGUAGCACGGGGCCCGAGAAAUCCCGUGUGAAUCUGGCGGGACCACCCGCUAAGCCUAAAUAUUCCCUGGUGACCGAUAGCGGAUAGUACCGUGAGGGAAUGGUGAAAAGUACCGCGGGAGCGGAGUGAAAUAGUACCUGAAACCGUGUGCCUACAAGCCGUGGGAGCGUCGCGCAUCGAGUUUACUCGGUGCGUCGUGACUGCGUGCCUUUUGAAGAAUGAGCCUGCGAGUUUGCGGUGUGUUGCGAGGUUAACCCGAGUGGGGUAGCCGUAGCGAAAGCGAGUCCGAACAGGGCGAUUUUAGUAGCACGCUCAAGACCCGAAGCGGAGUGAUCUAGCCAUGGGCAGGUUGAAGCGGAGGUAAGACUUCGUGGAGGACCGAACCCACCAGGGUUGAAAACCUGGGGGAUGACCUGUGGUUAGGGGUGAAAGGCCAAUCAAACUCCGUGAUAGCUGGUUCUCCCCGAAAUGCAUUUAGGUGCAGCGUCGUGUGUUUCUUGCCGGAGGUAGAGCACUGGAUAGGCGAUGGGCCCUACCGGGUUACUGACCUUAGCCAAACUCCGAAUGCCGGUAAGUGAGAGCACGGCAGUGAGACUGUGGGGGAUAAGCUCCAUGGUCGAGAGGGAAACAGCCCAGAGCAUCGACUAAGGCCCCUAAGCGUACGCUAAGUGGGAAAGGAUGUGGAGUCGCACAGACAACCAGGAGGUUGGCUUAGAAGCAGCCACCCUUGAAAGAGUGCGUAAUAGCUCACUGGUCUAGUGAUUCCGCGCCGACAAUGUAGCGGGGCUCAAGCGUACCGCCGAAGUCGUGUCAUUCCAGCAUAUAGGGCCAACGCCUGCUGGGAUGGGUAGGGGAGCGUCGUGUGCCGGGUGAAGCAGCCGCGGAAGCGAGUUGUGGACGGUUCACGAGUGAGAAUGCAGGCAUGAGUAGCGAUACACACGUGAGAAACGUGUGCGCCGAUUGACCAAGGGUUCCUGGGUCAAGCUGAUCUGCCCAGGGUAAGUCGGGACCUAAGGCGAGGCCGACAGGCGUAGUCGAUGGAUAACCGGUUGAUAUUCCGGUACCCGCUGUGAAGCGUCAAACACUGAACCAGGCGAUGCUAAGUCCGUGAAGCCGUUCCGGACCCUUCGGGGAAAGGAAAGUGGUGGAGCCGACGGACCAGACUUGUAGUAGGUGAGUGAUGGGGUGACGCAGGAAGGUAGUCCAUCCCGGGCGGUGGUUGUCCCGGGGUAAGGGUGUAGGCCGUGCGAUAGGUAAAUCCGUCGUACUUGUGGCUGAGACCUGAUGCCGAGCCGAUUGUGGUGAAGUGGAUGAUCCUAUGCUGUCGAGAAAAGCCUCUAGCGAGUUUCAUGGCGGCCCGUACCCUAAACCGACUCAGGUGGUCAGGUAGAGAAUACCGAGGCGUUCGGGUGAACUAUGGUUAAGGAACUCGGCAAAAUGCCCCCGUAACUUCGGGAGAAGGGGGGCCAUCACCGGUGAUAGCACUUGCUGCUUGAGCUGGGGGUGGCCGCAGAGACCAGCGAGAAGCGACUGUUUACUAAAAACACAGGUCCGUGCGAAGCCGUAAGGCGAUGUAUACGGACUGACGCCUGCCCGGUGCUGGAACGUUAAGGGGACCGGUUAGUCACAUUUCGGUGUGGCGAAGCUGAGAACUUAAGCGCCAGUAAACGGCGGUGGUAACUAUAACCAUCCUAAGGUAGCGAAAUUCCUUGUCGGGUAAGUUCCGACCUGCACGAAUGGCGUAACGACUUCUCGACUGUCUCAACCAUAGGCCCGGUGAAAUUGCACUACGAGUAAAGAUGCUCGUUUCGCGCAGCAGGACGGAAAGACCCCGGGACCUUUACUACAGUUUGAUAUUGGUGUUCGGUUCGGCUUGUGUAGGAUAGCUGGGAGACUUUGAAGCUCGGACGCCAGUUCGGGUGGAGUCGUCGUUGAAAUACCAGUCUGGUCGUGCUGGAUGUCUAACCUGGGUCCGUGAUCCGGAUCAGGGACAGUGUCUGAUGGGUAGUUUAACUGGGGCGGUUGCCUCCUAAAGAGUAACGGAGGCGCCCAAAGGUUCCCUCAGCCUGGUUGGCAAUCAGGUGGUGAGUGUAAGUGCACAAGGGAGCUUGACUGUGAGACCGACGGGUCGAGCAGGGACGAAAGUCGGGACUAGUGAUCCGGCGGUGGCUUGUGGAAGCGCCGUCGCUCAACGGAUAAAAGGUACCCCGGGGAUAACAGGCUGAUCUUCCCCAAGAGUCCAUAUCGACGGGAUGGUUUGGCACCUCGAUGUCGGCUCGUCGCAUCCUGGGGCUGGAGUCGGUCCCAAGGGUUGGGCUGUUCGCCCAUUAAAGCGGUACGCGAGCUGGGUUUAGAACGUCGUGAGACAGUUCGGUCCCUAUCCGCUGCGCGCGCAGGAAUAUUGAGAAGGGCUGUCCCUAGUACGAGAGGACCGGGACGGACGAACCUCUGGUGUGCCAGUUGUCCUGCCAAGGGCAUGGCUGGUUGGCUACGUUCGGGAGGGAUAACCGCUGAAAGCAUCUAAGCGGGAAGCCUGCUUCGAGAUGAGUAUUCCCACCCACUUGAUGGGGUAAGGCUCCCAGUAGACGACUGGGUUGAUAGGCCAGAUAUGGAAGCCUGGUAACGGGUGGAGUUGACUGGUACUAAUAGGCCGAGGGCUUGUCCU
rnacentral:rRNA from 1 species